GCUGGCUCAUUACGUCACGUGAUUGACACGUGAACUGCGUUGACACAGUCCAGGCUUCUAAUUGACACACCGGCUGCGUUGACACAGUCCAGGCUGCUAAUUGACACAUCGACUGUGUUGACACAGUCCAGGCUGCUAAUUGACACAUCGGCUGCGUUGACACAGUCCAGGCUGCUAAUUGACACGUGAACUGCACCUGCAUCGGCUGCUUGGCACAGUACAGGCUGCGCCACUUAGUCCAGGGGGCGUCGACUCAGUGCAGAGGGCGUUGACGCAGCAAAAGCCCGCCACACAGUGUUUAUAAGGAACACCUGCCGAAACAAGCCAGACCUCACUCACGCUCGCUUGUCGAAGCUUGUGUCAGUGCAGACUUCGUGUUCGUGCCUUGCCUUCCUUGCCGACUAUGGAGCAGAGACGCAAAUCAUCCGCCGUGUGGGACCAUUUUGAUGUCCUGGAGAAUAAGGUGAAAUGUCGAAUUUGCCAAGUCAAUUCGCCAACAGAAGCACCUCCACCAUGCUGAGGCAUUAUCGGGCCAAGCAUGAGAAUGAAGUUCGCGAUACACCCGGUAUUACGCCAGGUUCCAGGAAGCAGCUGUACUGGAAGGACCAACACACUUCUUUCCCAAACCUCUCCCACCUCGCAAAGGAGUUCCUUUGUACGCCAGCCUCAUCCGUCCCUUGUGAGCGUGUGUUCUUCACAGCAGGAGAAAUUGCUUGUAAAAGACGCAACAGGCUGAAGUUUAAAACAUUGGAGCAUCUUAUUUUUCUCAAUAAAAAUGUGAAAUCAAAGCCCACAAGCAUCCUCAUUCAAAUGAUCUUCACAUUAUUUGAACACAUUGAAUGUUGCAAAAUGAAUGCAUGGAUGUGAAUGAUAUUGUAUACACUUCAUCAUCAAAUCGAUGAAUGACCUUAUGAAAAUGUCUUGGAACAGUUGUAGAUGCAAAACCGUGCUGGCAGCUACAUAAUAGAUAAUAUCCCAAACCAUAGGGAUCCUCCCAAAAACUAAGGAUGUGCUAAAUAAGAGAUCCUUGUACACAUACUUUUAUUACUUCCAUAUUUGACCUAUUGUGUGGAAAUAUGGGGAAAUGCCAGUAAAACACUGUUUUAAAACUACAAUACAAAGCAAUCAGAACAAUCACUGGCUCCAAAUAGACGGAACCCACAAAUCCACUGUUUAUCAAAUUUAACAAUGAAAUCUCAUGACCUGGUUGACUUCAAAAUCGCCCAAUUAAUGU